UGUGCGAGGCCGUACUUUUCCGUACAGAGCAGAGGUGCCAGGCUGAGAAGACCAGUGUAAAACCCUGACAGUUUGGGGAUGAUCACGGAGGACAAAGUUGAGAUUUGCAAGUGAGAAAAACUGAAGUCCCUGUACCGAGUGUAAACCUGCCAACCUUUGCCUUCACUGACUGCUCAGCAGAAUCAAAAGGAGUCUUGAAAGUCAGUCUACAGGAAAUUCUCAGGCUGAAGAAGGAUUGAUCUAGCAUCUGAGUUCCAGAAUAACGGGCUCAGAAUAUUGCAGGAGCACCUUAUUCUAAAAGCAAAGACUAAGAAUUUUUG